rnacentral:lncRNA from 1 species
AAAGUUGUAGUUAUUUAAAAUACCUUCAAAAUGGUCACCAAUUUCAUGUCAUUUAGAUUUGGAAUGAUAGAUUUAUGCAUUUUUGAAGUUUGGAAAAAUCACUUGAUCAAUGGUAUAGGUCAAAAAUGACCUAUAAUGUAUCCUUAUAUCACAUGCUCAUAAAAGUUGAAUCAUGUCUCACUCCAAAGAUCAAAGUUGAAUUAGAC